CACGUAGGGCGCGAGCGUUGUCCGGAAUUAUUGGGCGUAAAGAGCUCGUAGGCGGCCAAGCAGGUCCGUUGUGAAAACUGGAGGCUUAACCUCCAGACGUCGACGGAAACCGCGUGGCUAGAGUCCGGAAGAGGAGAGUGGAAUUCCUGGUGUAGCGGUGAAAUGCGCAGAUAUCAGGAAGAACACCAAUGGCGAAGGCAGCUCUCUGGGACGGUACUGACGCUGAGACGCGAAAGCGUGGGGAGCGAACAGG
rnacentral:rRNA from 1 species